CCCUCCCAGCCAUGGGUGUGAUAAAGAGUGAGGGAGCUGGGAGGGAGUUUAGCUGGGGUCUGCUGGCUGUGCUGAGAGGAGGAAGGGACAGGAGAUUGUGAGAGGGAUAGAAAAGGUAAGAUGUUGUACAAGGGACAGAUAGGGUGAGGUGGCUGUGCUGGGGACAGGAAGGAGCCAGCUGGAACUGCAGAAGAAAGGGAGAAGGAGGGAAAGAGCCAGAGCUGUGUGGAGCUGCCCAUGGGAGGCUACAGAGAAAAGAGUAACACUGCAUUUCUGCAACUGCUCAUCUCUCUUCAUGGAAGAAGCCAAAGAUCUGAUAAGGGAAGAAAGAGUGAGCAGCAUGUGACUUUAAAUGUCUUAAAAUGAGGAAGAGUGUCUAGAAUUACUCAGAAGCAUGAGGUUGAGUCAGCAGAUAAACAAGGAAGAGAUUGCCCAGCAGAGACUACCACAACAGAGUUAGCCCUUGAGCAAUCCACCUUCUUCCUCUCUGGGAAUACAAUCUAAAGUUUGAAUCUCGUUUAAAAGAGUCAAACUGGUGAUUUUCUUCUGCUAACUCCUCUUUUUCAUGGGAGCAUCAACCUGAACGUUUAUCCCAUCUUUUAUUUUUUGACUUCCACGGGCCUCUCUGGCUUUUCCAACAGCUCAACAGCCCCAUCUAGCAGCACAAGGAACACCCAAACUAUCUCUGGGGGAGCACAGCAAACCUGGUCAGUGCUCAGCGAGCAGAAUGGGGACACGCUGCCCCCGGUGAGAGGGAAAUGCAGGAAACACAAACGAGCCCGAAGGUGGCCUGCUCUGAGCAAGGACUGGUCACCUACCAGAGCAAGGAGCAGAACUUUUCGUGUACUAUGGGCCACUGAAGGACACAAACAAUCCCAGUUAGCCGUGUUUUAAGCCUCUUUGCUUAUGCUGUGCUGGGUUUUUCACAUAAACCUUGCUUCAGGGAAACGGAAUUUCGAAGCUCUACCAAUUGUGUGAGAGUUGCUGCUGUUUAAAGAAACGAGCUACUAUGCAAGUGACAGAUAAAACACUACACAACGUACUUCCCUAAAACAGCAGGUAAUGGAAACUGUGAAAACAAGGAGAUUAGCAAAGCUGGGCUAAAUCCUCAGGGCCUUUUGAGAGCAGCUUGGAAAGCCAUUUUUGUACGUUGAAGCAAACGUCACUCAGUCAAAAAUCAUAUUUUCUUUAUAGAAUGGUUUCAUUUCCUAACAUAUGGUAGAAGCAGAGACUGUGUGUACUUCAGAGAUACUCACUGCAAUAAGGUCAUCCCUUGCCUUGAGGACCUUCAGCCGUGCUUGAUUCAUCAGGUUGGACAUCUGACUGCAAGUUGCAUGAUAAAGCUGAAUCAAUCCAUCAGCCUUUGACAGAAGAGCUGUAACAUUUAACUGCAUGCUUUGCAUUUCAAGGUAACAGUUCUACAAGACUUGAAAACAAGGUCUGUUCACCUGCUGGGAUCUGUUCCAGGACUUGCACAAAAGAUUAAACUGCACAACCCCCUUCUUGGUGAAGAUCCGGCCAAGCUAAACAUGACAUGAUCAUUUUUCCCAGGGUAGAGUUUUAGACAUUAACUACAUAAAGAAAUGUGAAAGAUUCUUUCAUCUAAGUUGUACCACUGUAGCUCAGCUUUGAUAAUUUCUCCCCAGAAACUCACAAUUCGAAUUAAAUGUUGUCUACAAUUUGCCUGUUUGCAGGGAAGGGAAGGAGACUUGUAUAAAAUUAACAACAAAAUGCAAGCUCAGGCUCUGAAGUCAGCUGUCUACCCCAAGCAACGUACAUUUUCUUUUGCUGUUCAAUUUGCUUCUCCUUCUUUUCAUAAUACUCCAUGAUUUUCAGCCUCUGUGUCUGAACAAGGCGACCCUUCUCAAUGUUGAAUUCUUCUUCUGCCUACAGUAAAAAUUAAAUAACUGAAGUGGAAAUUGAUUCCUUGGGCUGAAAGAAAUAGAACCAAAAUGUAACAGAGCACAUUCACAGACAGGAUAGACUGAUACAAUUUAUGGUUCCAUAUAAAACCCCUUCACCUCUGUAAGUAAUUCUUACACAAGGAGGGUGACAGCACAGCUGUUACUUUUUUUUUGUAAUGCUUCACUAGACAGAAUGUAAGAACACAUGGAUAAUUCUCCUACUUAUACCUGAGAAUCCAGUCUCAGGUUCUGAAUUCUGUUUGCAGAUUUUUGGGAAUACCUGCUUUACUACUGAUUAAAUAUUUGUGUAAAUCUAAAUGUUUAAGGGAGAUUGAAUAUUAUCAGCUGAGUCCAGUACCAAUGAGGCAUUCCACCAGUGGUAUAAUGCAGACUGUUGGGGCUGAAAGGCACCACUAAUCCUUCUUCAGCAAACAUCUACACUCUAUCACCAGGUUAAUAUUAAACCCAGUCUCUUGUGGCUUAACCUAAGUGAAGCAUUCUGCAAGUAAUUCAACUCAUGCCUUAAAUACUAGUACAGGGGAGGAAGGGGCUCUACUUAAUCUACUCAGCUUUCCUGAUUGCUUAAAAAAAAGAGGUGAACUUUGAUAUGAAUAUAUUUAUAUUCAAGAACCACGAAAAUCUUAACCAAAACCAGCUCUGAGUCAUUUUCAUUAGUCAAAAGCUAAGAAAUGCUAACUUUAUUUGGUACAUUUUUUGCUAUGUAAUAACUAAACAGAAAUCAGCUGUAGCUUACAAAGGUGUUUUAGUUCUCUCUGACUGCAACUUUCAAAGCAGGAUGUGGGAUGCAGUCUUCCUUUUGCACUUACUGACAGUGAACUUCCAUUUUUACCUUUGCAUCUAUUUCUUCAGCCUUUUCAUUGGCUUCCUGCUCUAUGAAAGCCAUCAUGUGCUUGAUCUGUAACAAGAGAGAGGGGGAAAAAUGUAUUUUCUGUAUGGACAUUGACCAGAGGAAGUAGAUGUAUAUAUGUUCUCAUUUGUAGAUACUCCUUUUCCAUUUAGUAAUUCAUAUAAUAUUGUUUUGCAAGGAAAUUUAAUUGAGCAUACAUGCUAAAGAGUCAGUUCAUCUUGACAUAUAUUACAAGUAAACUAUUUUCCCCAAUAAUUCUAUAUAAUGCUGUUUCACUAGCAUUAGAAGAACGCACAUCAGGUAUGCAACUACAAAAUAAACCCAAACCAAACCAACUAACCCAAAAGUAAAUUUGUGUAAGUGUGAGGCUGGGUAUUUUUGUUCUUCAUUCUUUUUCACCCCUGAGAUUAUUUAAAAAAAAAUACAAACAAACCCAGACUUCAAAAAUCCUCACACAGCAAAAUGAGUCUGUUUGUUAUGACAUUUACAUGAAACAUAAAGAUUAACGUAGAUGGCAUCUGAAUGAACCUUGGCCUUCCACAGGUGAACAGUGGAGCAAAGCAAAGUGCUGCUGACCGCUGUGGUCAGAUUUGUACAGCCAGGAGUUCCUCUGAACACCUGUUCAGUUCUGAAAAGCUGUAGUAAAUUCUGUAAAGAUUUAUAAAGGUGAGUUUGGAGGGGCUGGGGAAGGAGACAGCAGCAGCAGCAACGCUCCGUCACCCAGACCACAUCAAGAACGUCACGUGCUGCUUCAGAGGCCCACAUGAAUCAGUAAGUUCAACUUGAAAAACGUUUCUGAAGCCACCUCAAAGCUCUGCAAAGCCCAGGUCCAGCAGCUUAAAGAUCAGGAAAGCAAUCCAGACCAAGUUCUGUUCAUCUGUCACUACUGACUUUUUCUUUGUGCUUAGUGAUGAGACACAUUUGGCAGAAAAUCCAGUCUGCAUAAACUCACACAAAAGGCUCUAUUUAGAGAAUCUCGUGUUAAAAUUAAAUGUUUUAGAGAUUAGAAAGGUGCCAAGGUGAAAACUGAGCCAAUGUGCAGAACAGCACUAUGCCCAUAGAGAUGAAAAACAGAAGUGAAGGGACAAAGUGGAAGAUUUUAAACACAUGUUAACACAGUGGAAGAAGUGAAUAGUACCAUCUACAUCCUCAAAAUCAAUUCAGCAGGUUUUCUUUUAAUUUGUGUCUGCAAAGACUCUCAAGUGCUUGUCUACCUACAGCAUCAGGUUCCUAGCCUGCAUUUCAGAAAGGACAAAAGGGGCAUUUAAAAUAAGGAUGUUAUUUUGCUGAGUAGCCUAUUGUUGAAGAAGACUGAGAACCGAGCAGCAGCAGCCUUUAUGUUACUGGGCCACUUCCUCCAGCGUAGUCUGGUUUCUGAAUUUUGGAAAAGCACUUUUAACAGUUCUGAGCAUCCAGGAAACAUCCUCUGGAUAAAGGAAAGGAAUGAGAUGGAAGCAAGCUGAUAUGGAAUCCACUUCUCCUAGACUGGUAAGACUGAACACUGUUACUUCCUUCAAAAGCUGCUGAAAUCCCCUUUUGCUUUUUAUAGAAAUUAAGAGAGAUCCAAAGUGAGAUUUCACAUCUAUAAACAGGAUUAGUUUUAAUAACAGUGACAAAAAUGUAUUUAGAAAUGAGAGACUUGUUUUAAAGCAAGGGAAGUUCUAGAUGUUAGAUGGGCUUCAGAAGUGACCAGAGGGAACAAUGAGUUAAACACCUUUGACAGAAUGAAAAAGCAAAUCUGUCAGUGGGAAAAAGUCUCAAUCAGAGAUGAUUUUCAAGGUGACAAUCACUGGAAGUGUGGUGGCAGGGAGUUAAGUGGACCAGCUGGCAAGUUGAUGGCAGAUUCAUCCACAGGCAGGAUUGUCAACCAUCAGCACUCUCCUUUCCAGUGAGCAGGAUCACCCUGGGCCCAGGAGCGUAAAGCACUGACAGGAAUGCUGCAGAUGUGAAAUGCUGUUAGUAUUAAGUGUUUAAUACAUCACCAGAGCCUGAACUAACCUCUGAGGUUCAGAUCCAUUCUGGCUGAGCAAGACCACCCUAAUGUCAGCUUUAUUUUUAUUAUCUUCCUGGAGGAGGCAGGAAAAAAAGCACCGAGCUUUGCAGAUUAAAAAGAAUGCAACGUAAUGUUACAAUUCUCCUUCUGGAGAAAGGCAACCUACCAAUUUAACUUUCAUUGUGAUGCUUCCUUGCCAAGAGACUAUGUUUACUGAAUGAGAAAGUGAGACACAAGUACUUGUGAUGCAGAGGACAAAGGGAACUUGUCUGAUCCACUCAUCGCCUGCAAGAAACCACCCAGACCAGCGCUGACUGGAUCCCCACAGCCUUUAACACCACACACCAUCUCCAACCCAGCUGAAAGCAGCUUUUUUAGCUGAGGGCAGUGUUUACUGUCAACAGGGACAGCGUGUCCUGCCUCUGGAGGAGUGUCCACAGCCAGACCUCAGGGCUGGAAGUUUCCACUGCAAGCCAAGCCCAGGCUGCCCCACUCUGCUUAGGAUGUAGACCUGAAAAGGGCAUUUAGGAACGCUGAGCAGCCCAUCCAAGUGCUAAGGGACAGCUUAACUGCAGGUAACACAGCUACGGGCAAAAAAGACGGGAAAUCCUUAAGGAAUCAGAGAAUCAUUAAGGUUGGAAGAGACCUUCGGGAUCACCCAGUCCAAUGCAGAACUACCACUGUAACCUUUAAACACUAAACCCCUUCAGAUCCAGACACCUCCUAAAUGCCUCCACGGAUGGUGACUCCAUCAUCUCCCUGGGCAACGUGACCACCCUAAGAGUGAAUUUUUUAUUCUGAUAUCUGCUGUGAAUCUCCCCUGUCUCAGCUUAAGGCCACUUUCUCUGCUUCUCCCACUGCAGGCACGGCAGAAGAGACCGGCCCUCACCUCUAAACAUCUGCCACAGCAGCAUGUAGAAAAACAGCACUCGUCCUAGGCUGUGCAUUCACCUGCCUUGGGAUGCAAUUAAACCCUGCGGACAGCACACAGCCUGCCCACGAACCCUCUCCUUAUAAUCUGCCGCAACACGUCACCAAAAUGCUCCAAGGAAGUUCCCCCUGGGGCCCAUCCACCCCGGCAGGGGAAAAAAUCGCUUUGCCGGGAGACUCCUCUUUCCAAGGCAGCAUCCUUGCCCUCCGCCGAUGUUCCUUUCGCAGGGGAGCGGCGCGGCAGAGCAGCAGCCCCGGGCCGCAGCGCUUCACCGCGGGCCCCGGCGCGGUCAGUCCGGUUCGCCACGGCCCUUCGCGGGCUCCGCUCGGGCCCUACCUGCUUCUGCACGUCGGCAUCGCUGAGCGCCAUGGCGGCGGCGGUGACAGUGACGGUGACAGCGACGGCGACAGCGGUGGUGACAGCGGCAGCCGCAGGCCCCAGGAGACGCGCCCGGUGCCGUCGGUGGCCGCGAGCGGAAUCAGAUCCGGUUCGUGUCACCGCCGGGGCGGGGCCGGCACACGCCCCACCCACCGCGCGGCCGGACCUAUGGGAAAGCUGCGAGUGUGUGACGUCACGCCGCCAUAUAUGGCGAGGCGAGCGUGCGUCACUGUCACACGUUCACGGGAACUGCGGCUGGCGCGAAGGGACCUCGCGUGUAAGGCCCUCAGGUGGCUUUGUGUUGGCAGUGCCCUGCGCUGCCCGUGGCGGGACAAGCCGAGGGACGCAGGGAGCAGCCGGACAAGGGGAGCGGAAGGGCGGCCUUGAAGGAGUUCUGCUGCUUCCGCCGUUCUUUAUGGCAAAAUUUAGGCAGAAUUCAUGGUCUGUAAUACUAAUUGCUUGUUCUAAUCGGCAAGAGGCUUCUGUUUUCAUUUUGUAGGAACAUUUAGUGGAAAAAAGAGGACCAUUCCAAAUCAGCGUCAAAUGCGGUAUUUGUUGCAUCCAUGCCAUUUCCUUAAUUUUUUUUUUUCCCUUGUGAAAAACCGUAUUAUAAAACUAUGCGUGUAACUCUGAUGUCUUUUCAUAUUGCCGUCAUAAUGCUGGGAAUCAGCUUGUACUUUGGGUCUGGAGAACGCUUUACUAUUACCUCAGGCACCAUCUAAAUACUAAUUUAAACCAAAUUUUAAUAAAGAAGAAAUAAUAUAUAAUAUUAAAUGGUAAGGAUGUUUAUUAUUAUAAAAUAAGCAUUACUAAAUAAAACAGCAAGUACGGCUGGAA